UAACAAGGAUUCCCCUAGUAACUGCGAGUGAAGCGGGAAGAGCUCAAAUUUAAAAUCUGGCAGCUUUGUUGUCCGAGUUGUAAUCUGGAGAAGCAUUUUCCGCGUUGGACCGUGUACAAGUCUCUUGGAAUAGAGCGUCAUAGAGGGUGAGAAUCCCGUCCAUGGCACGGGCUACCAAUGCUUUGUGAUAUGCUCUCGAAGAGUCGAGUUGUUUGGGAAUGCAGCUCAAAAUGGGUGGUAAGUUCCAUCUAAAGCUAAAUAUUGGCGAGAGACCGAUAGCGAACAAGUACCGUGAGGGAAAGAUGAAAAGCACUUUGGAAAGAGAGUUAAACAGUACGUGAAAUUGUUGAAAGGGAAACGCUUGAAGUCAGUCGCGUUGUCUGAGACUCAGCCUUGCUUUUGCUUGGUGUACUUCUUAGUUAACGGGUCAACAUCAAUUUUGGUCGGUGGAUAAAGGUUGAAGGAAUGUGGCAUCUUUUGAUGUGUUAUAGCCUUCUUCCGUAUACACUGGCUGGGAUUGAGGUCUGCAGCACGCCUUUAUGGCCGGGGUUCGCCCACGUAACGUGCUUAGGAUGUUGGCAUAAUGGCUUUAAGCGACCCGUCUUGAAACACGGACCAAGGAGUCUAACAUGCUUGCGAGUAUUAGAGUGGAAAACUCUUAUGCGUAAUGAAAGUGAAAGUUGGGACUCUUCAUUGAGGCACCGACGCCCGGCCUUGAAGUUUACUGACGGUGCCGCGGUAGAGCACGUAUGUUGGGACCCGAAAGAUGGUGAACUAUGCCUGAAUAGGGUGAAGCCAGGGGAAACUCUGGUGGAGGCUCGUAGCGAUUCUGACGUGCAAAUCGAUCGUCAAAUUUGGG
rnacentral:rRNA from 1 species